GACGAACGCUGGCGGCGUGCCUAAUACAUGCAAGUAGAACGCUGAAGGAGGAGCUUGCUUCUCUGGAUGAGUUGCGAACGGGUGAGUAACGCGUAGGUAACCUGCCUGGUAGCGGGGGAUAACUAUUGGAAACGAUAGCUAAUACCGCAUAAGAGUAGAUGUUGCAUGACAUUUGCUUAAAAGGUGCAAUUGCAUCACUACCAGAUGGACCUGCGUUGUAUUAGCUAGUUGGUGGGGGAACGGCUCACCAAGGCGACGAUACAUAGCCGACCGGAGAGGGGGAUCGGCCACACUGGGACUGAGACACGGCCCAGACUCCUACGGGAGGCAGCAGUAGGGAAUCUUCGGCAAUGGACGGAAGUCUGACCGAGCAACGCCGCGUGAGUGAAGAAGGUUUUCGGAUCGUAAAGCUCUGUUGUAAGAGAAGAACGAGUGUGAGAGUGGAAAGUUCACACUGUGACGGUAUCUUACCAGAAAGGGACGGCUAACUACGUG
rnacentral:rRNA from 1 species